rnacentral:rRNA from 1 species
GACGAACGCUGGCGGCGUGCUUAACACAUGCAAGUCGAACGGAAAGGCCCCCACCUUGGUGGGGGUGCUCGAGUGGCGAACGGGUGAGUAACACGUGGGUGAUCUGCCCUGUACUUCGGGAUAAGCUUGGGAAACUGGGUCUAAUACCGGAUAGGACCAUGGUUUAGUGUCUCAUGGUGGAAAAAUAUUGUUUUGGUGCAGGAUGAGCUCGCGGCCUAUCAGCUUGUUGGUGGGGUAAUGGCCUACCAAGGCGUCGACGGGUAGCCGGCCUGAGAGGGUGGACGGCCACAUUGGGACUGAGAUACGGCCCAGACUCCUACGGGAGGCAGCAGUGGGGAAUAGUGCACAAUGGGCGCAAGCCUGAUGCAGCGACGCCGCGUGGGGGAUGACGGCCUUCGGGUGGUAAACUCCUUUCGUUAGGGACGAAGCCACACCUUUUUUGGGUGUGGUGACGGUACCUUUGUUAAGAAGCACCGGCUAACUACGUG